rnacentral:rRNA from 1 species
GACGAACGCUGGCGGCGUGCUUAACACAUGCAAGUCGAACGGAAAGGCCUGUCUGUUGUGGGGUGCUCGAGUGGCGAUCGUGUGAGUAACACGUGUGUAACCUGCCCUGUACGUGGGGAUAUCUGUAGGAAACUGGGGCUAAUACCGGAUAGGAGCUGUGGUGGCAUGGUGGGGGUUGGAAAGUUUCGGCGGUUGGUGAUGGACUCGCGGCUUAUCAGCUUGUUGGUGGGGUAGUGGCUUACCAAGGCUUUGACGGGUAGCCGGCCUGAGAGGGUGACCGGCCACAUUGGGACUGAGAUACCACCCAGACUCCACAGGGAGGCAGCAGUGGGGAAUAUUGCACAAUGGGCGGAAGCCUGAUGCAGCACAGCCGCGUGCGGGAUGACGGCCUUCGGGUUGUAACAAAAAAUCGCCUGUGACGAAGCGUGAGUGACGGUAAUGGGUAAAGAAGCACCGGCUAACUACGUG